rnacentral:rRNA from 1 species
GAUGAACGCUGGCGGCGUGCCUAAUACAUGCAAGUCGAACGCACAGCGAAAGGUGCUUGCACCUUUCAAGCGAGUGGCGAACGGGUGAGUAACACGUGGACAACCUGCCUCAAGGCUGGGGAUAACAUUUGGAAACAGAUGCUAAUACCGAAUAAAACUCAGUGUCGCAUGACACAAAGUUAAAAGGCGCUUUGGCGUCACCUAGAGAUGGAUCCGCGGUGCAUUAGUUAGUUGGUGGGGUAAAGGCCUACCAAGACAAUGAUGCAUAGCCGAGUUGAGAGACUGAUCGGCCACAUUGGGACUGAGACACGCCCCAAACUCCUACGGGAGGCUGCAGUAGGGAAUCCUCCACAAUGGGCGAAAGCCUGAUGGAGCAACGCCGCGUGUGUGAUGAAGGCUUUCGGGUCGUAAAGCACUGUUGUAUGGGAAGAACAGCUAGAAUAGGGAAUGAUUUUAGUUUGACGGUACCAUACCAGAAAGGGACGGCUAAAUACGUGCCAGCCGCCGCAGUAA